CCUGCUAACAUCAGCAGUUGCUCUGAAUGGUCAUAGGUCAAUAAUAUGAAGUUAAAUGUAUCCGCAAAGACCAAAGAAUUGCGUAUCUGCUUUUCUAAUCUUAUUCCAUCGUUUGCCCCUAUUACCAUCCGUGGUCAAGAGGGCGACUUCCGAGGCAAAAUUGUUGGGCGUUGUUCUUUCAGACGAUCUUAAAUGGAACCGCCACAUAGACUACAUUUGCAAGAAAGCCGCGAAGCGUUUGUAUGGUCUGCGCCUUCUUAAAAGAAAUUCUUUACUUCUCAUAUCCUGAUCUCAACCUAUUGUACACAUAUUCGACCAAUUGUGGAAUAUGCUUGUCAGGUGUGGCAUUAUGGCCUUCCUCAGUACCUGAGUGAUCAAGUUGAAAAAAUCCGAAAAAGGGCAUUAAAAAUUAUAUUCCCUGGAGCUACCUAUGCUGAAUGUUUGCUUAAAGCAAACUUAAUGACUCUUUAUGAACGUAGAACAGUUCUUUGCAAGCGCCUUUUUUCGAAGAUGUUGGAACCCACUCAUAAAUUGAAUGCCUUAGUAUCGCCUAAAAACCUUCAAAGUUAUGAUCUGAGGUCUUAUUCUAACCUAUUAGUACCUAGGUGCAGAACUGAACGUUUUUCGAACAGUUUCAUUCCCGCUGCGUCUCGUGCUUAGGGGCGGACCAUUAGGAAAGUGAUGGGGGGGUGGGGAAGCAAAAAUAAAAAUCGAGCAGGGGAACAGAAAUAAAAAAAAAUUCGUGCACCAAAAAAGUUUGAAAAAAAAAUUCGUGCAGAGACUUUUCAAUAGGGAAAAUUAUAAGUUGACAGGGCCUAUCAGAUGUAUAGUGCUAGCCUCCUCCGCAGGUAUCUGGUGGUACUUACUUUAUUAAUUUUUUGCCUGCAAGAAAUUUUGCCCGAUAAUAUAAAGGCGAUGCCUGCGGAGGAGGCUAGUACAGUGUAAGAGUGGCCCCCAAAUUUGGAAAAUAAAAAAAAUAAUUUGGAACGUUUUUUGAUAUAAGUGUGAGAAAAAAAAUUCUAAACCUACAUUGGUGCAAAAAAGGGUUUUAAGCAUGUUUUAACAAGAAUUUGUCAGGGAAAAUUUGCUUUGAACCUUAACUGAACUGAUGUUAGUCCGGAAAAUUUUUUGACCCUUUUUUAUGU